CCCGAGUGCGGCAGGCUGGCCUGGCCCCCGGGAUGCACCAGGCUGGCCGCCCGGCCCUGGCCCGCCGGGAGUGGCCCAGUGACCUUGGUCGGGCUCUGGGUUCGAGAGCGCUUCCUCCACCUGCUGGCUUCGUGACCUUGGGCCGGCCCCCUUGCCCGAGUCCUGGUGACUCUGCGCUCCAAAACAGCCUGCCUCGUGGGCUUGGGUGGGGUUCCGGAGGGGCUGGGCCCCGCGGUGCACGGAGCUGCCUCCGGGAGAGCGCGGCUGCGUCAGGCCGGGGCCGCCCCGGGAGGUGAAAGAGCCUGCACAGAACGGCCGUGGCUGGCUGCGCCGGGCCCGGCCCCGCACACCAGCCGGUCGGCGUGGAAGCCCCGGGCCUGCAGGCGCCCUUCGCGAGCCCGCCCUCUCCCUGCACCCCCGCUAAGCCGCCGUCCUGGACUCCUGGUGCCUUGCGACCCGCCAGGGCCCCGGAUGGUCCCAUUUCUCACGGCCUCGCGUUCACCCACGUCAUGGGUUGUGCACCCAGCCAGGCCCUCCCGGGCCUUCCCGUGCUCUGCCCCGCGAGGCCUCAGACGCCCGGGUCAGAAAGAGAGAAAGAGGCACAGACACAGAGGGAGAAGCAGGCUCUAGGCAGAGAGCCUGAUGUGGGACUCGAUCCUGGGUCUCCAGGAUCAUACCCCGGGCUGAAGGCAGCGCUAAACCGCUGGGCCACCAGGACAACUUUUAACCCGAAAAUUUAGAAGUGAAAGAAGCAAGCUUAGCCAUCACCAACUGCCUGGGAAUCCCAAGCUCACUCCUGGCACUGAUCAUAUAAGGUAUUGACUAGUAGCAUACCAUGCCCUCCCGGGCCCCCACUCCAGAGUGGAAGGCAACUGGGUCUGAGUGGUUGGGGCAGGGUGUGCACUGCACUGUCAAAUUCCCGGUCCAUCUAAGUCCAUGCUGCUUGGAGCCCCUCCUUUGAGCUGGUACUGGUCCGCCCCACAGCCAGGCUUGGUUCUUACGACUGAGCUGAGGAUGCUGCUUGACUAAGAACUCCAGGACCUGGACUUGUGGUUCCACUCCAAGAAUGACCUCUCACCUGCUAGUUUCUGGAUCAGUAGCCAGACAAGCAACUUUCCUGCACACACUGAUGAAAUAUGCUAAACUGGAGUCAGAGAGGAAUCACACAUCUUGAGUAAAAGGGAAGAAAAUCUAUCCCAGAGAGCAAAUUAAUGCAAAAAAGAAAUCUGGUUCAAAUUAAUGGUUUUAUUUCCAUCUGUAACACUAGCAGGAGUCCAACAGACUGAUGUACAUGGAUAUAGUUUAAAUGUAACAAAGAAAGAUUUGAACUAUGUACAAUGAAGAAAGGAAAAUGAUUUUUUAUCAAUCUUUUCCUAUUUUGCAGUUUCUGAAUGGUAGAAACUCAACAUUUUUUCCCCAAUUUAAUUUAGCAUGAAGGAAUACAACCUUUAUGAUCAACCAUUUGUCCUUAAGCACAAAACUUAAAGGAGAUUUUGGCUGCAUGGCGGUCUUGGUUUCUGAAGUCUGGGUACUGCUGGAACCUAACAAAAGAGUUUCCAUGAAGCCCAGAAGGAACUUAAUGGCAAUGACGUCCAAAUAGAGGGCAGACAUACCUAGCAUCGUGCCGAUGAGAAAUGAUGUCCUGCCCUCCUUGACUCCAAGUAGAAAAUUACUUUCAUCCAAAUUAACUGGAAGUGAGCCAAAGUUAAAAAGUCAGAAUGAAGAAUAAAACAAAUUUCUUUUCACAUACAGGAGGGACACUCCUUCAGCCCCGUUUAAAGUGAAUUCUGUGCCGAGUCCCUGCUCCUUCAGAAAGAUAAACUGAAGGUCAGUUAUUGCUAGCAAAGCCAGAGGAGGCCCUGUUCCCACCUUGAAGAUGUUUCACAUGAAGAGGCUGUUGGUUUGGCUUAAAACCCUCUGAAGAAGGAGGGUGCAGAGGCAGAGGCAGGUUGACACAGCAAGGCCUCACUCCCACUAGCUGCCCCAGGCCCUGUGCUGUGAGAGGCAGCUCAGGCCACCCUGCUGCCUCCUCCAGGACCAAGCAGAGCAUGUUAUCUGGCUGCCCUGGGGAGAAGAGGCCACCAUACUUUGCCAACCAAACCUAUGGAGCAGUCAAAAGCCCAAAGGAUCAAAGCCUAUUGAAGGCCGGAAGAGCAGCUUCUAAAAUGAAUGUCAGUUGGUGUGGGGGUGGGGGUUAAAGCCGAAGGCAGAGCCCAGCUAACAUCAGGUGGGCCAAAUUCUCUGAAACUCUGGGCAGCCAUGACUUGGACAACAGCAUGGACAUGGGUGGCUGGUAAGGCCACAAGUACUGCCACCACCUCCCAGUAUUUAUGCUUGAGUAGACAUUAGGCAGUGGGAACUGAGGACCAGAGGGCAUGUGGCAAACACAGGAUAGAUCUUAUCAGAAAACAGAGAGGAUACCUGACCACAUGUCUGCCCAAAGUACCUAGCAUGGCCUGUGCCAGGUGAAAAGCUCUGGGACACGGGUUAAGUUCCUGAGAACAGGUGGCAGGUAGGACUGGGUGGGACAGGCACUGCUCCACAGGCACCACGAGGACUCUGAGGAAACACUUCCAGUGCUACAUCUCCUGGGCUGCUGAGAAGUAGACAAAGAACAGGCUUUAUUGCACAUUUCGUUCUUAGGAAACUGGGAAUUGCCCUGUAGAGAUUCUCCUGACCUGCAGACCCCCCUGCACAUUGAUGCUAGGGUACAGGUGGGAUCACGAGUAACCUCUGACUCAAGGGAAGAGUCCAGUGGUGGGUCUUUCCAGGGCCAUGCUCACAGCCGGGAUCCUCAGGCCGGAUGGACCUUGUUGGGCUUGGUCACCAUGGCGCUUGCCCAGGAGAGCUGGGCGGACCUGCCUGCUCUCUGACCAGGACCAGCCCCUGGCGAUACUGCCACGAGGAAGCUGGGACAAACUUUCCAGAUGGGGAGAAUUUCUUGCAAACGUGCAUAUUCCAGAAAGAGGCUGGAAUCAUGAUUCUUGGUUCCAAUGUGUCUAACUCCCUCUCUCCUACCCUGGAAGCAAACCGCCCAGAGUAGUAGAGAUGUAGAUCCUGGCCUGGGUGGGCCCUGGCUCCAGCUCCACAGCAGUAAACUGGAGGCAACGAAAGGGUCUAAGUGGGGUUUGGAAACAAAAGAGCAGUUUACAUAUCAGAUGUUGGUUUUGAAAUAGUCUUUUCGAGCUCGGGGUAUUGAGGCAGAGAACCCACGAAAGGCUGUGUGGAGAACCCAACAGGCUGUCUGUCCAUCCAUCUCUCCCAAGCAGCUCUCCACACUUCAUAUAUAAAUGGGGUGGUAUCGUUUGUGGUUGAUCUUUUUCCUGCAAGUCGGGCAAGUGUUAGCAUUCUUAAGGGCAUCGCGGAGGCACUGGCUACAAAAGACGUGGCCACAUUCUGUAGAAACAAUGAGACGUCCGUUCUGUACAAUCUAGAAAACAUAAAAAAAAAAAAAAAAAAAAGAAACAGCUUUUGUGUGUGCCCUGGUCCCAGAGCAGCAACAGUCCCCAGAGAACCCUACUUCUGCUGAGCUGAGAGGAGGAAGGGCUAGGCAGGUCCGGAGAACUGAAUAUACCCACCUGCUCUGCGGUGUCAGGCAAGCAUGAGCAGGGCCUCUGAAGCUGAGAGCAGAGGCAGGAGCCACUCUCCUGGCAGCCAUGGCCCAAGAGUGUUGGAGGGACCCUGGAUGCCUGAACCCACAGGGGCAGCGUUGGACAGCUCAGGAGCCAUAGUAAGCACAGGGGUGGGGAACACGAGGGCCAGAGCUGGAGGCUGCAGGGCCCAAGAAGAAGCUGGCACAUUCUCCCCUCAUACACAGAGAUGUGUGACAGGCCAGAGCAGAGGCAGCAAAUCCCACCAAAGGAGAAGACCUUCUCUCUCAUCUAAUUCUUUCACAGAAGCCACGUGGAAACCAGGAGCAAGGAAGUUUGCUUACCUCAGAGUACCCGUCCAUGCAGAUUGGACAACUGACAGUACCAGAGGGCCUAAAAUCAUAGUGCUUCAUGUCAGUUCCUUGGCAAACUCAAACAUUCAAUUACUGUAAAUGGCUUCAUAUAAGCAGCCCAUACCUUAGCAGAGGCACUAGGCAUUUACAGAAAGGCCAAUGGCCCCAAUGGGGUACAGGAAGGAGGCAAGAGGGGAAUGAAAAGUACACACAACCAGAGGUGCCCUGUCACCCCUGCCUCCCUGUCUGGGGCAGGAGCUGUGCCUAGCACCUCCAAGCAUUCUUGCUGCAGAUCACAGAGAGCCAGUGGAUCUGUUCUUCACAGCAGGUGGUGCCGUAUGUGAACAGCCCAGGGCAAGUCCCAUCCACCCUGACAGUGCCAGACACAGACUUGUCCCACUGGGAAUGGUUGAACUAGCUCUGAAUCCAGACCCACCUGCACCCAGUUGCUGGGCACCUGCACAAGACCUUCGUGAGCCACGGGUGCACAGAACUUGGGAAAGGUCCCGUAUUUCCAACACCCUACACCCCUGAGAAAUGGUGGGGGUGGGGGGGGAGGAUCCCCACUCCAGGAUGCAAGUGGUCCCACGGGGCCAGAAGCAUCUGGUGAGGCAGCAAGGCUUUCGGAGUGCUGGUACCUGAGUCCUGUGGCUGCCUCCUCCCUUGUGUUUCUGGGAGUGUGGGUGGUCACGUACACGUCUCUGUCCCUGGACAGCUCCUCGUCAUCACUGCUCACCACACAGCUGUCAGCAUGGUCCUGGCGUGGCCGCCUUGCGUUCCUCCGUGGCCGCCUCCUCUCUAAGGUGUGAAUCCAUGCUCAGGGCAGGGUUCCUAGCCCUGUCACCUCCCUAACCCCUUCCCGCCAGGGAAAGGCCAGUCCCAGACCCGAGAGACCACUGUCCUGUCUUCCCAGAAGAAGCCCCAUCCCUGCCAUGAGCAGGUGUCAGAGCUGUGGGGCCAUCUAAAGUCUCUAAGGUGGUUAGCUUUCUCCAAAAUCCAACGAGCUCAGCACUAGGGGUACUGUCUCCCCAGCAAACACAGAGCACUAAUUGCAGGGGUGUCCCGCCCAGCAUUUUUGUCCCCACAGGCCUGCCAAGAACUUCAGCAUUGCACCCCUCACCCACAUCACUUCUGUAUCCAAACCCAAUGAAAGAGAGAAGAAACCACUCACCGUCAACAAUCUUUUAAAAAAAGGAAGAAAACAAAAGAGAAAGACACAAUCAGUAUGACAUAAAAUUCUCUGUAUUUUUAAAAACUUAUCUUAAAUGAUAAAAUUGAAGCAUUUUUAAAUUUCAAAUGCAAAAUCCUCAGGGUACCAGUUAAGCCCUCCCACAGAAUGGGAUACAUGCUGCCCUGUCCAGCACCGAUGGGAGAUCUGUACACCUCUCCACUCAGGCCCAUCCCAGGUGCCCACCAGGUGCUGGGUGAGUCUGGGAGCUGCUGGCCUGGUGACCUGGGGAAGUUACUUACCCACUGGGGGGUGCCAGCUUCCUCUUCUGGAGCACAGAGGCACCAGUGCCCACAGCUCCCCCUACUGUUGCGAGGACUACACAAGAUAACAAACAUCUUGGGGCACUAGGGACGGGACUAGCUUACUAGCUCCACAGGCUCCUCAUGUCCGGGUGCACCAGUGACAGGAAUCUUAUGUUCCAGAUAGGCUACUGCCAAAGGUGGAGCCUUCCUGGGAGGAGGGUCUGCAGUGCUUAUGAUAGGGAAUAAUCAAAUAAUUGAAGUGUGACAUGCAGGGACCAAUGAGUGGCACACCAAGGACCAAGAUCAAUCUGAUUCCAUGUUCUCCAGGCUGACAAAAAAGCUACUGAGCAGUCGACAAGGCCAUCAUCUGUUCACUCAUAACCUACACUAGGACUAUUUUUGCUACAAUGGUUUCACACCACAUCUCUUCAGCCCCCUGAAUUCCUAGACCUGUCUCUACAGCAUCACCAGAAGCACACCUUUUCCCUCUUGCUUGCCACAGGCCAUCAACCACCUCAGGAAAGCCCUCCUGAUAGCUGUUGAAAGGCCCUUGGAGAAACUGGAAGCUCUCUCCAGCCCAAGUCCCUUGUGGCAGGGACUGUGAAUACGAAGUAAGCUCCCCCUACCCAGGGAAGCACAUUCGGAGGCCAUCCCAGUUGCUGGAACUGUGUGGUGGCAGACGUGGUGGGCAGUAUGAGAGACUGUCAUGGCAGAGGUCGUGGUGUAUGAAGCCCAGGGCCCCCUCCUUGGCAAGGGGCUGUUAUAGCAUUUCUUGGGACCCAGAGAGAUCAAAACCCCUGGCCUCCUGCUCCAGCCCUUCUGCUUGGGCCAGAAGGAACAGCUUCUAGGAUGGAUCAAGGCUGAGAUGUCUGGAGUUAUUCCUAGAGACCUGCUCCUCCAACCUUUUCAAGACCAAGCAGUAGCUCUUUCUAUGUAUUAAAAUCCAUGUGCUUUAGAACCAUCACAGUGGAUUCAGUUUUCCAACCUGAACCCUGACAGAUACAAACAGCCAUCCCAGGAAAGAAGAAGGUCUAAGUAAGCAUAAAGGUCUUCAUUUUGCAGAUGAGAACACGACCCACAGGCAGAGCUACUAAAGGCACUUCCCCCACCCCCUAGAAGAGGCUGGAUGGACUGUGCAACUAUGAAAUUGAGGGGACAGCAAUCUCAUCACUGGGAUUCUUAACUGGAAAAAAAGCUUGGGCUGACAAGAGAUGAAGUCCUUAUGAGGUCUAUAAAAGGAGGGCUCUGAAUUUAGCCAAGAACAAAAGGAAAACCUGCUGUAGGCAGGGAUGACUCUAGCCUUCUGGCACUCCAACACUGCCUCACCUCCUUUGGUCAGGACGGGCCAUUUAAUGAGGUGUGGACACACCUGGAAGGGAACACAACGCUGCUGGCUGCCCAGCAAGCGGUGUGUGGGAACCGGGUCUCCAUGGGCUCUCGUGAAUCAGAACCAGCUUGCUUCCAGGAAGUGCCAGGCUCGGGCCAGACCUGAACCCCCAGGGAGGUACAGACGCUGCCUCCUCCCCAAGGCUCAGGAUGGGAGCUCCUCACAUAAUUACUGGGUAAGUGUAGUGGCCAGAAAGCUAUCCUCACUGCUGAGGACGCUGUCUCUGUCUUUUAACAGAAAAGCUCAGGGAGGAAGGUCCUCAUCCUAAGUGUAGAAAACAAUGGAGCCACAGCCUGGCCUCCUAGCUCCCUGCCCUUGGCACCUCUGUGCCCACAUCCUGGCUGAGCGACAGGCGACACUGCAACCAGUGGUCCCUCCAGCCAACAGCUGAACCACAUCAAAUUCCAGAACCUCUGUAGGCAUCUGCAGGCACUCUGGAAUGGCCCUUCCUCGUGCCUGGAGCCCUGCAGGUAGCAUAGUGCUUACCCGGAACAAGAGAUGGGGGUGGGAUGGAGGGUAGGGGAUGGGCAGGAAGCUCUGAGGAUUCUCCUCUGGAAGGGAGGCCUUUAAAAGAAACAAAAUACCAACACCCCAAACCCCUGGUCUGAAUAGCUGAGUCAGUACUGCAACAAGGGGCUUGAGAUCAGACCUGCACAUCCCACUUCCCCUUUAGGUCUGUUUUUUCUUUCUUAAGUAUGGAAUAAACCACAGGUCAGAGCACUGACACAUAUGACAGGUCUGGAGAAAGGACAACCCACAGAAGACACCUGGUGUCACUUGCUUUCACACCAGGGUUCACACAUUGACUCCGGGCCGCUCACCUGAAGGCCCUCUGGGCUCCUGAAACACAGCCUCAGAAUUCCUCCAAGUCCUGACAUCCAUGUCACAGGCUCCUGGUCAGUGAGGGAGGACAAGCCCCUCUACCACCAGGACACAAAACCCCAGGCAUUCUAGGUACCUCCUGGGGCUGCAAACAAUAUGCUGAGUGAAAUAAUAGGACAAACCAAGCAGAAGUCCCUGAGGUCCUCUGUAUGCAAGCAGGCCCCUCACAUUCCUAAAAAUGCUCAGCCAGCCAAAAGCUCUGCAAGCCACUUGAUUUAGACAGCCUCCUCACUUGGCUUCACAGGUUGCUGCACUGGAAAAACAUCUACCUCCACCUACUGGCUCCUCUCUAGGUCCAGUGGUUGCACACAGCAUGCAAGUAUACAUUCCUGUUACUGUUGCCGUGCCAGGAGUACCAGGAAAACCGGUUCUCACAUUAACGUUCCAGUCAAAGCACUUCAUGGAAGAUGAAAACAAGCUACCACCACCACCAGACUGCCAGGAGUAAAGUGGGAGGGAGCACGUGGAGGAGAGUACACCGAAAACAGUGGAAAGCAUGUGAGUGAGCACAAUCCUGUUAAAACAGUUUGCCAUCAAUCUAGUAAAAGUCAAAGAUACACAUGCCCAGGGAUCCAGCAGCGAUGGCCUUUUUUUGGGUCCACAAUGCCCAAAAUAAAAGUUAAUUUGUAGAGA